CCUACGGGGUGCUGCAGUGAGGAAUAUUGGUCAAUGGGCGGAAGCCUGAACCAGCCAAGUCGCGUGAGGGAAUAAGGCCCUACGGGUCGUAAACCUCUUUUGCCGGGGAGCAAGGGCCGGGACGAGUCCCGGUCCGGAGAGUACCCGGAGAAAAAGCAUCGGCUAACUCCGUGCCAGCAGCCGCGGUAAUACGGAGGAUGCGAGCGUUAUCCGGAUUUAUUGGGUUUAAAGGGUGCGUAGGCGGGCUUUUAAGUCAGCGGUAAAAAUUCGGGGCUCAACCCCGUCCGGCCGUUGAAACUGGGGGCCUUGAGUGGGCGAGAAGAAGGCGGAAUGCGUGGGGUAGCGGUGAAAUGCAUAGAUAUCACGCAGAACCCCGAGUGCGAAGGCAGCCUGCCGCAGCGUUACUGACGCUGAAGCUCGAAAGCGCGGGUAUCGAACAGGAUUAGAUACCCUGGUAGUC
rnacentral:rRNA from 1 species